GAAGUAACAGAGGCAGAAUUGUAGGGAAUACAGAUAAUUCUCUGGACAUGUAUGGAAUCUUAGAAGAAAUGAAGAGUAGAGGUUUUCACAAGAUUAGAAGAACUGACAGGUAUGACAGAAUAUUGUUGAGAAGAAACUGGAAAAGAGGUUAGUGACAAAGAAGAGAAAGAGAGCAAGAACAGAAAUGAGGUGAGAUGCACACAGAGAUACAGAAAAGAAAGAGACAAGUGUGAGUGUGCACAAAGGAUGGACUCCACACAAUUCUGACUUUUCUAUUUGAGGGUCAGCUCUUGAUCCUGAGGCAGCAGUGAGAAGAGCAAAGAGUACCUUCUAUUAGCCAGGAGAGACCAUCAGGAAAUCAGUGGUUAAGAAGAGUC